rnacentral:lncRNA from 1 species
UUUACAGUUCGAUUGGAACUGGGGAGGAGUUUAAAAGAAUCACAGUAAGCCCUCUGGUCUUUUCCAGGAGGAUAAUCAACAACAUUGACUGAUUAUGUUUGUAUGGCUUGUUGGAUAAAAAGGAAUGAACAGGAGCUCACCAGCCAUCAGAGAAUUGCAGCUAACCCUAGGUUAAGAAAGAAUAACCAAGAACAGAACUGACAAAUUAAGUCAGUCAGUGCCACCUGCAGUUGGAACAAUGACAUAAAUCCUGCCA